GCCGGCGUAGCUCAGAUGGUAGAGCAGCGCAUUCGUAAUGCGAAGGUCGAGAGUUCAAGUCCCUCCGUCGGCACCA
rnacentral:tRNA from 1 species